rnacentral:rRNA from 1 species
GGCGGCGUGCCUAUACAUGCAAGUCGAACGCUUCUUUCCUCCCGAGUGCUUGCACUCAAUUGGAAAGAGGAGUGGCGGACGGGUGAGUAACACGUGGGUAACCUACCCAUCAGAGGGGGAUAACACUUGGAAACAGGUGCUAAUACCGCAUAACAGUUUAUGCCGCAUGGCAUAAGAGUGAAAGGCGCUUUCGGGUGUCGCUGAUGGAUGGACCCGCGGUGCAUUAGCUAGUUGGUGAGGUAACGGCUCACCAAGGCCACGAUGCAUAGCCGACCUGAGAGGGUGAUCGGCCACACUGGGACUGAGACACGGCCCAGACUCCUACGGGAGGCAGCAGUAGGGAAUCUUCGGCAAUGGACGAAAGUCUGACCGAGCAACGCCGCGUGAGUGAAGAAGGUUUUCGGAUCGUAAAACUCUGUUGUUAGAGAAGAACAAGGACGUUAGUAACUGAACGUCCCCUGACGGUAUCUAACCAGAAAGCCACGGCUAACUACGUGCCAGCAGCCGCGGUAAUACGUAGGUGGCAAGCGUUGUCCGGAUUUAUUGGGCGUAAAGCGAGCGCAGGCGGUUUCUUAAGUCUGAUGUGAAAGCCCCCGGCUCAACCGGGGAGGGUCAUUGGAAACUGGGAGACUUGAGUGCAGAAGAGGAGAGUGGAAUUCCAUGUGUUAGCCGGUG